AAUGGCGGCGCUGCCCGCCAGGGGAUUUCCAGCUGAGGGGAGCGGACACCGGAACAUGGCGGAGGGAGGAGGAGCUGCUCUGCCAGAUCCCGGCCUGGCCAUGGCACACGCUGCUCCUGUCCCUGAUGACUUAGCGAUCCUCGAGGAGGUGAUGAAGGAAGACGGAUUCCAACCGGAUCCGGCCCCACUGCAUCCCAAACCCCCC